UACGGGGGGGGGCAAGCGUUUGUUCGGAAUUACUGGGCGUAAAGGGCUCGUAGGCGGCCAACUAAGUCAGACGUGAAAUCCCCAGGCUCAACCUGGGAACUGCGUCUGAUACUGGAUGGCUUGAAUCCGGGAGAGGGAUGCAGAAUUCCAGGUGUAGCGGUGAAAUGCGUAGAUAUCUGGAGGAAUACCGGUGGCGAAGGCGGCAUCCUGGACCGGCAUUGACGCUGAGGAGCGAAAGCUAGGGGAGCAAACGGG
rnacentral:rRNA from 1 species